rnacentral:rRNA from 1 species
AUUGAACGCUGGCGGCAUGCUUUACACAUGCAAGUCGAACGGUAACAGGGUGCUUGCACCGCUGACGAGUGGCGAACGGGUGAGUAAUGCGUCGGAACGUGCCGAGUAGUGGGGGAUGACGCAGCGAAAGUUGUGCUAAUACCGCAUACGUACUGAGGUAGAAAGUGGGGGACCUUCGGGCCUCACGCUAUUCGAGCGGCCGACGUCUGAUUAGCUAGUAGGUGGGGUAAAGGCUCACCUAGGCGACGAUCAGUAGCGGGUCUGAGAGGAUGAUCCGCCACACUGGGACUGAGACACGGCCCAGACUCCUACGGGAGGCAGCAGUGGGGAAUUUUGGACAAUGGGCGAAAGCCUGAUCCAGCCAUGCCGCGUGUCUGAAGAAGGCCUUCGGGUUGUAAAGGACUUUUGUCAGGGAGGAAAUCCCUAGUGCUAAUAACACUGGGGGAUGACAGUACCUGAAGAAUAAGCACCGGCUAACUACGUGCCAGCAGCCGCAGUAA